GGCUCAGAUUGAACGCUGGCGGCAUGCUUUACACAUGCAAGUCGAACGGCAGCACGAAAGAGCUUGCUCUUUUGGUGGCGAGUGGCGAACGGGUGAGUAAUACAUUGGAACGUACCGAGUAAUGGGGGAUAACUGUCCGAAAGGAUGGCUAAUACCGCAUACGCUCUGAGGAGGAAAGCGGGGGACCUUCGGGCCUCGCGUUAUUCGAGCGGCCAAUGUCUGAUUAGCUAGUUGGUGGGGUAAAGGCCUACCAAGGCGACGAUCAGUAGUGGGUCUGAGAGGAUGAUCCGCCACACUGGGACUGAGACACGGCCCAGACUCCUACGGGAGGCAGCAGUGGGGAAUUUUGGACAAUGGGCGAAAGCCUGAUCCAGCCAUGCCGCGUGUCUGAAGAAGGCCUUCGGGUUGUAAAGGACUUUUGUCAGGGAAGAAAGGGUUUGGGUU
rnacentral:rRNA from 1 species